GGCUGGUGGUCUAGGGGUAUGAUUCUCGCUUUGGGUGCGAGAGGUCCGGGGUUCAAAUCCCGGAUGAGCCC
rnacentral:tRNA from 1 species